rnacentral:tRNA from 1 species
GGGUCGUUAGCUCAAGUUGGUAGAGCAGUUGACUUUUAAUCAAUUGGUCGCAGGUUCGAAUCCUGCACGACCCC